GCACCCGUAGCUCAGCUGGAUAGAGUAUACGCCUCCGAAGCGUAAGGUCGCGCGUUCGAAUCGCGCCGGGUGCGCCA
rnacentral:tRNA from 1 species